UACAGAGGCGGCAAGCGUUGUUCGGAUUUACUGGGCGUAAAGGGUGCGUAGGUGGCGCAAUAAGUCGGGCGUGAAAUCCCAUGGCUCAACCAUGGAACUGCGUCUGAAACUGCUGCGCUAGAGUGCAGAAGAGGAUAGCGGAAUUCUUGGUGUAGCGGUGAAAUGCGUUGAUAUCAAGAAGAACGCCGGUGGCGAAGGCGGCUAUCUGGGAUGCAACUGACACUGAGGCACGAAAGCUGGGGGAG
rnacentral:rRNA from 1 species